rnacentral:rRNA from 1 species
GUGGGGAAUAUUGGACAAUGGGCGAAAGCCUGAUCCAGCCAUGCCGCGUGUGUGAAGAAGGUCUUCGGAUUGUAAAGCACUUUAAGUUGGGAGGAAGGGCAGUAAGUUAAUACCUUGCUGUUUUGACGUUACCAACAGAAUAAGCACCGGCUAACUUCGUGCCAGCAGCCGCGGUAAUACGAAGGGUGCAAGCGUUAAUCGGAAUUACUGGGCGUAAAGCGCGCGUAGGUGGUUCAGCAAGUUGAAGGUGAAAUCCCCGGGCUCAACCUGGGAACUGCCUCCAAAACUACUGAGCUAGAGUACAGUAGAGGGUAGUGGAAUUUCCUGUGUAGCGGUGAAAUGCGUAGAUAUAGGAAGGAACACCAGUGGCGAAGGCGACUACCUGGACUGAUACUGACACUGAGGUGCGAAAGCGUGGGGAGCAAACAGGAUUAGAAACCCUUGUAGUCC